AUAAUGCAGGUACAUAGUAAGCAGUUAAUAAAUAGCAACUAUAGCAAUCUAGGGGAAAAUAAAUACAUAUUUUUUAAAAAUAGCAGCUAUUAUUGGCUACUGAAGUGAAUCAAAGAUGCAUGAGGAUGCCUUUAUUGCCAUCAACAAUUAAGUUAAUACUUUACAAACAGCAGUCCCAGAAUCCAUUGACACCUGUUGAUUAAUAAGUUUACCAUGUUAGUUAGUGAAGUACUCAGGUUCCAGAAAUUUGUCUCCAAGAGGCACUUAGCUGAUUGAUCUGCACAAACAUUGCACCCUGGAAGUGUGGUGGAGUCAGCUGUGAAUUCUGAUUGCCUCCAACUGGAACAGGGACUGUUCCUCUAGGAAAGUCAUACAAGAGCAGGUGGAGAUUCAGCCCACGAGAAGUGUGCCACUGAAAUGACCCAAGUCUGGGCCCCAAAUGCAGGUGGGCACCUUUUUCUGUUACUCAGGAAGCUCUCUGUGCAGCCCAGGGUAGCAUGAACUGAGAUCUGCUGUGACGGUGCCUGACACCAGGAUCCACCCCU
rnacentral:lncRNA from 1 species